UGGGGUGUGGCUCAGUGGAUAGAGUGCUUGCCUCGCAUGCGUGGGACACUAGGUUCAAACCUCAGCACCACAU
rnacentral:tRNA from 1 species